rnacentral:rRNA from 1 species
AUUGAACGCUGGCGGCAGGCCUAACACAUGCAAGUCGAGCGGAUGAAGGGGGCUUUCUCCUGGAUUCAGCGGCGGACGGGUGAGUAAUGCCUAGGAAUCUGCCUGGUAGUGGGGGAUAACGUCCGGAAACGGGCGCUAAUACCGCAUACGUCCUGAGGGUGAAAUUGGGGGAUCUUCGGACCUCACGCUAUCAGAUGAGCCUAGGUCGGAUUAGCUAGUUGGUGGGGUAAAGGCCUACCAAGGCGACGAUCCGUAACUGGUCUGAGAGGAUGAUCAGUCACACUGGAACUGAGAAACGGUCCAGACUCCUAAGGGAGGAAGAAGUGGGGAAUAUUGGACAAUGGGCGAAAGCCUGAUCCAGCCAUGCGGCGUGUGUGAAGAAGGUCUUCGGAUUGUAAAGCACUUUAAGUUGGGAGGAAGGGCAGUAAGUUAAUACCUUGCUGUUUUGACGUUACCAACAGAAUAAGCACCGGCUAACUUCGUG